UACGUAGGGUGCAAGCGUUAAUCGGAAUUACUGGGCGUAAAGCGUGCGCAGGCGGUUCGCUAAGACAGAUGUGAAAUCCCCGGGCUUAACCUGGGAGCUGCAUUCGAAACUGUCUUGCUAGAGUAUGGGAGAGGGAGGUGGAAUUUCAGGUGUAGCGGUGAAAUGCGUAGAUAUCUGAAGGAACAUCAGUGGCGAAAGCGACCUCCUGGACCAAUACUGACGCUCAGGUGCGAAAGCGUGGGGAGCAAACAGG
rnacentral:rRNA from 1 species